rnacentral:rRNA from 1 species
GACGAACGCUGGCGGCGUGCUUAACACAUGCAAGUCGAGCGGAGCGGCGAACGGGUGAGUAACGCGUGAGUACCUGCCCCCCUCUCUGGGAUACCAGUUGGAAAAGGCUGCUCAUCACGGAUAGUGGGGGAUGACUCGCGUCCUCACAGCUUGUUGGUCGGGUAGGGGCCUACCAAGGCGAAGAAGGGUAGCCGGCCGGAGAUGGCGACCGGCCACAGUGGUCUGAUAUACGGCACAAACUCCUACGGGAGGCAGCAGUGGGGAAUAUUGCACUAUGGGGGAAACCCUGAUGCAGCAACGCCGCGUGCGGGAUGACGGCCUUCGGGUUGUAAACCGCUUUCAGCCAUGACGCGGUAGUGGCAGAAGAAGCACCGGCUAACUUCGUGCCAGCAGCCGCGGUAAUUC